rnacentral:rRNA from 1 species
UACGAAGGGGGCUAGCGUUGCUCGGAAUCACUGGGCGUAAAGGGUGCGUAGGCGGUCUGACAAGUCUGAUGUGAAAUCUAUGGGCUCAACCCAUAGUCUGCAUCGGAAACUGUCGGGCUGGAGUAUGGGAGAGGUGAGUGGAAUUUCCGGUGUAGCGGUGAAAUGCGUAGAUAUCGGAAGGAACACCUGUGGCGAAAGCGGCUCACUGGACCAUUACUGACGCUGAUGCACGAAAGCUAGGGGAGCAAACAGG